GACAGAGGGGGCAAGCGUUGCUCGGAAUUACUGGGCGUAAAGGGCGCGUAGGCGGCCAGCACAAGUCAGUUGUGAAAUCUCCGAGCUUAACUCGGAAAGGUCAACUGAUACUGUGCGGCUAGAGUGCGGAAGGGGCAACUGGAAUUCUUGGUGUAGCGGUGAAAUGCGUAGAUAUCAAGAGGAACACCUGCGGCGAAGGCGGGUUGCUGGGCCGACACGUGACGCUGAUGCGCGAAAGCUAGGGGAGCGAACGGG
rnacentral:rRNA from 1 species